rnacentral:tRNA from 1 species
GGAGACAUGGCUCAGCAGUUAAGAGCACUGACUGCUCUUCCAGAGGACCUGGGUUCAAUUCCCAGUACCCACA